rfam:Nomascus leucogenys chromosome 6, whole genome shotgun sequence.
CCCCUGGCUCUCUUAAGAGCCAUGAACAUUUAAUAAACAGAGAGA